AUUGAACGCUGGCGGCAUGCCUUACACAUGCAAGUCGAACGGCAGCACGGGAGCAAUCCUGGUGGCGAGUGGCGAACGGGUGAGUAAAGUAUCGGAACGUGCCCAGUCGUGGGGGAUAACGUAGCGAAAGUUACGCUAAUACCGCAUACGAUCUAUGGAUGAAAGCGGGGGAUCGCAAGACCUCGCGCGAUUGGAGCGGCGGAUAGCAGAUUAGGUAGUUGGUGGGGUAAAGGCUCACCAAGCCGACGAUCUGUAGCUGGUCUGAGAGGACGACCAGCCACACUGGGACUGAGACACGGCCCAGACUCCUACGGGAGGCAGCAGUGGGGAAUUUUGGACAAUGGGCGCAAGCCUGAUCCAGCCAUGCCGCGUGCAGGAUGAAGGCCUUCGGGUUGUAAACUGCUUUUGUACGGAACGAAAAGGUUUGACUUAAUACGUUGGACUCAUGACGGUACCGUAAGAAUAAGCACCGGCUAACUACGUGCCAGCAGCCGCGUAA
rnacentral:rRNA from 1 species